GCUUUUUCUGCGCCCGUGGUUUUCUCAUUUCUGUAAGGAUGGCACAUCGUCCUCCCCGAGCAACAAAGCAGAAAGCCCUGGAGGGUUUUCACCUGAUGGAGGAAGAUUCCAGCAACGAGGACAAUCUGGGGCCACAAAGGGCAUUUGCCCGACACAUGGCAGAGAGUGUAUCAUCAGGUCCGGCCACUGAACCACUUAUAGACAUGGACAUGUCCUCUGCAGAUAUGUCCUUUGAGAUGGACAGUGAUGAGAGUAAUCUCGACAGUGCCAGAAGUGGAGGAGAAAGUGAAAGAGGAGCCAGCAGAGGAGCAAGGGGAAGAGGUGCAAGAAGUGGCGCAAGGGGACGAGGGGCAAGGAGAGGAGGAAGAAGGCAAUACAACCCCCCACUAGCAUCGGUGGAGGAAAGGCACAGGGUCCAAAGACUAAGGGACGGCAGAGUCAAUAGAAUAAAGGAGCUAAUAGAUGAGAUGAGAGAGGAGGAGGCCAAGGCACUACUACUGAAGGUAGUUGAGAAGCAGCCUGCUGUCAUUUUCGACAUCGUUGAUGUUGGGGUGGAGAGGAGGCGUGCUGGCAGGGCUGCUGGAGCUGAGGG
ensembl:lncRNA